rnacentral:SRP_RNA from 1 species
GCCAGGCAUUGUGGCGUGUGCCUGUAGUCCCAGCUACUUGGGAGGCUGAGGUGGGAGAAUCACUUGAACCCAGGAGGCUGAGGUUGUAGUGAGCCGAGACUGUGCCACUGCACUCCAGCCUGGGUGACAGAGCGAGACUCCAUCUCAA